GCGCCUGUGGCGAAAUUGGUAGACGCGCCAGACUUAGGAUCUGGUGUUGAAAAACGUGCAGGUUCGAUUCCUGUCAGGCGCACCA
rnacentral:tRNA from 3 species